CUCAGGAUGAACGCUAGCUACAGGCUUAACACAUGCAAGUCGAGGGGCAUCAGGAAGAAAGCUUGCUUUCUUUGCUGGCGACCGGCGCACGGGUGAGUAACACGUAUCCAACCUGCCCUUUACUCGGGGAUAGCCUUUCGAAAGAAAGAUUAAUACCCGAUGGCAUAAUGAUUCCGCAUGGUUUCAUUAUUAAAGGAUUCCGGUAAAGGAUGGGGAUGCGUUCCAUUAGGUUGUUGGUGAGGUAACGGCUCACCAAGCCUUCGAUGGAUAGGGGUUCUGAGAGGAAGGUCCCCCACAUUGGAACUGAGACACGGUCCAAACUCCUACGGGAGGCAGCAGUGAGGAAUAUUGGUCAAUGGGCGCUAGCCUGAACCAGCCAAGUAGCGUGAAGGAUGAAGGCUCUAUGGGUCGUAAACUUCUUUUAUAUAAGAAUAAAGUGCAGUAUGUAUACUGUUUUGUAUGUAUUAUAUGAAUAAGGAUCGGCUAACUCCGUGCCAGCAGCCGCGGUAAUACGGAGGAUCCGAGCGUUAUCCGGAUUUAUUGGGUUUAAAGGGAGCGUAGGUGGACUGGUAAGUCAGUUGUGAAAGUUUGCGGCUCAACCGUAAAAUUGCAGUUGAUACUGUCAGUCUUGAGUACAGUAGAGGUGGGCGGAAUUCGUGGUGUAGCGGUGAAAUGCUUAGAUAUCACGAAGAACUCCGAUUGCGAAGGCAGCUCACUGGACUGCAACUGACACUGAUGCUCGAAAGUGUGGGUAUCAAACAGGAUUAGAUACCCUGGUAGUCCACACAGUAAACGAUGAAUACUCGCUGUUUUGCCGAUAUACAGUAAGCGGCCAAGCGAAAGCAUUAAGUAUUCCACCUGGGGAGUACGCCGGCAACGGUGAAACUCAAAGGAAUUGACGGGGGCCCGCACAAGCGGAGGAACAUGUGGUUUAAUUCGAUGAUACGCGAGGAACCUUACCCGGGCUUAAAUUGCAGUGGAAUGAUGUGGAAACAUGUCAGUGAGCAAUCACCGCUGUGAAGGUGCUGCAUGGUUGUCGUCAGCUCGUGCCGUGAGGUGUCGGCUUAAGUGCCAUAACGAGCGCAACCCUUAUCUUUAGUUACUAACAGGUUAUGCUGAGGACUCUAGAGAGACUGCCGUCGUAAGAUGUGAGGAAGGUGGGGAUGACGUCAAAUCAGCACGGCCCUUACGUCCGGGGCUACACACGUGUUACAAUGGGGGGUACAGAAGGCAGCUAGCGGGUGACCGUAUGCUAAUCCCAAAAGCCUCUCUCAGUUCGGAUCGAAGUCUGCAACCCGACUUCAUGAAGCUGGAUUCGCUAGUAAUCGCGCAUCAGCCAUGGCGCGGUGAAUACGUUCCCGGGCCUUGUACACACCGCCCGUCAAGCCAUGGAAGCCGGGAGUACAAGGAGCAUGCAACCGCAAGGAGCGUACGAAGGUAAUACCGG
rnacentral:rRNA from 1 species